rnacentral:lncRNA from 10 species
CCUGCCUCAGCUUCCGGAGUAGCUGGGACUACAGGCGCCCGCCACCUCGCCCGGCUAAUUGUUUGUAUUUUUAGUAGAGACGGGGUUUCACUGUGUUAGCCAGGAUGGUCUCCAUCUCCUGACCUCGUGAUCCGCCCGCCUCGGCCUCCCAAAGUGCUGGGAUUACAGGCGUGAGCCACCGCGCCUGGCCCCUCCUUUACUUCUUGGCACCUUUAGAAGAUUCUGACUGCUGUUCACUUAAGUGGGAACAGCACUGCGUGCACAAUGCUCACUGUGCAUCUGCCCGUGUUCCGAAUCACAUCCAAUAUGACUUCCUGGCAGCGGGUUGGCGUCUGCGUAUUGUUACUGCAGUGGUUGUCUACCUGAGCCUUGUCUACUGUGAGCUGGAACACCUACCUCCCCCUCUGGAGAGCAGGAAUUGGAGGUAGCAUGGUAACCAACGCCUGUAGCCUGGAUGCCCAGAGGCCCUCGAUCUGUCCUGAGGAUUUUGGAACACAGACCAGCUGGGCAUUUUUGUGCAUGCAAGACCUGCCUUGGCAAUGAUCUUAAGAUGUCACUGUAGCGUUUACAUCUUUUAUUUCAAGAUUUAAAUAACUAGGAAGUAGCUAAUGUAAUUCACUGCUGAGAAGAAAGGCGAGCUCCUAGAUUCCUUUCCAAAGCGAUCUCCUCCUAAUGAACUUCUCUGGACUCUUAGAUAAUGGAUCUGAUGUUCAUACCAUGCAUAUACUCUGGUUUGAUAAAUCUUCAGCUAAGAGGACCUCCAUGAAGCUGGAUUCCCUCCGGACCGGGAGAAGAUGAGGGAAGAGAGAAGCCCCUCCCAUUCGCUUCUACUGGGGCUUGUUAGGCCAUCGCCUUGGGGGCCGGCUGAUCAGCGGCAGCCAGCAGCCGGCGGCUUCGGCAGGCAGGAACAAGGACAGCCUGUGGCUACUGCAGCCCCACUGCCCGGCCAUGCUUCAUGAUGGGGGAGAGUGCCUUGGGAGGAAUAUACAGGCAAAUCAUGUUAGCAUCACAGAGCCCACUUAAUUCCGUAUGGGUUGGUAUUUGGGGAAGAAAUCGAGGACGAAUUGGUGUUGGACCCAAAGCUGGGCAGGGACCAGUGUGCAUGGCAAGGUUUUAAUGCCAGUAAGUUUUUCAGGGUGAUUUUUUUUCUGUCCCUGAGUCAGUGGAAUAGAAUGGAAAUGCCAUGUCUAGCUACUUUAGGGAGCACAGUGUGAAGAAGACAGCCUCCUCUAAGCUAGCACUGUUUGUGUAAUAUGUGGUCCUUAGACAUUAAAAUGAAGCCCUUUGUCACCAACUGUAGAGCCCCCCAAAACACCCUCAUUUGGUGUUUUUGUUCCAUUUUAAACCAUGAAUGGCAUCCGCUCCCUCCAGUACUGAUGUGAGGUUUUUCUGUGUUGGAUCAAAACCAAAUGCUGUUUUAUGUCAACGUAAGGAAGGAAACUAGCAAAUGCAUGAGGUCAAUCUCCAUGGCACACUUCCACCCCAGGGGCUGUACGAGAGGAAAAAAAUGUGCUUCAUGUCCCAACCAAAAGCAUUCUCUGUCUGAGGACUGUUGCCCAAGUGUGAAGUAGGAGACUCGUGCAAUUCAAAGGCACCUAUGUGAUGCCCAUGUGGAGCCCUUUUCUUAGCCAGGCACGACAGGUAUGGAGCCGGCUCUGGGAAGUGGGAUCUAGAAUGACAACCCUUGGCACAGGGCUAAGGAGCUUUAGGAGUGAUGAAAUCUCAUUGUACCACUGCAAACAGAAGCUGCAUCCCUGCCUGGGAAGGAUUAGGUCGCCUCCUAGGCAGGAGCAAACAUUUGGUGGAAAGGACUAGGAGGUUGGCUGCUUGCUCUUCUCUUUCAGCAGUGACAUCUCCACCCUGCCUGUCCCACCUCUCCAGAAAGGACUCCCAGAGGCCUAUGGACUGGAGCUAUUAACAUCCUGCAGAUGGGAGCCACUCUCUCACUGUGAUCACCAAGGUGGGGAGUGGUGUGAGGCCUUGGUCCAUUUCAUUGCUGACAUUAGCCCUGCACCAGCGGGAGAACGUUUCUUCCUUUAAUCACCCCAAGAUUAGCCUGCAGUUGCCUCUUUCUGUUGGAUAUUUGAAUAACAAGCUUGAUGAGGCCACUUAACUCCCUCCAAUUACAGCUAAAGAUUUCCUAGAUGAAAGACCUUGAUCCACUGCCUUUCAUGAUUCAGCACUGGAUUUUCUGUUCCAUGCAGCCUUCUAUUGGAAUAAUUUUGUGAAAUGAAGGCAACAAAGUAUUGUUUUCUUAAUCAAAGAGAACUUCAUAAAAAUUGUGCUCCUUGACUGCUAAUUUGUCCUGCAUUGUUACCGAUGCUUUUCUUAUGAUUUUUGUUUUGCACUGAACAGCCCCCUGGCUGAGAGAAAACCCCGAAGCAGUUAAGAUACCAGGAAAGGAAGACUUGAAAAUUGGUUAGUGAAGAUUCUGAGUAUUUCCUGGUGCGUCUGGGAAUUUUGUUUGUUUUUUGUGGUGAUAUUUCUUUCUCUCUGUAUGUCUCUGUCUCUCUGUCUCUAUCUGCAUCUCUGCCCUUGUUAGAAGGGACUAAUUAGAAUGGCACAAACACGUUAGAAUUGGAGAUCAUUGUUGCAAAGGCCCUUAGGAAGAGGGGGGCAGUUUUGGUCCAUUCUGAAGGCUAUCAAGGCGGUUUCCAGCUUGCUCUUGGCACGAAAAGGAAUAACCAGGGCCAUUUUAAUGCCAUGGGCAGGGAAAGCAUGAUGCAAAGCUUUUGGAGGGGCCACCGGGUAACAACAGGAGAGCACCAGAACUCACGGAGAGAGCAGAGGUUGAGGAAGCCUGGCGCCCCAGCGACAAAGCAGUGUCCCCGACAAAAGAAAGAUUCAAUCUUGGAAACAGAAACAUGAAGUGAAUGUUUAAUACCAUGGUCCAAGAAGAUGGCAUUUUCUGUGACUGGAACAAUGCAGAAUUAAUGUGUAUCUGCAAGAAAUAUCAUUAAGAUUAAGUAUUCUUCAGAGAGAUUGGAGAAUCGGGGAAUUCAAGUGCGUUUGUUGGCUUGAGCCAGCCCUCCGCUACCUGACCCAUCUGCAGGCAGAAAGGGCAUCCACCAAGUGAGUCUUUCUCAGUAGAGGAGGCAGUGUGCUGUUAUAUGCUGAUGCAGCUCCUUGUCUUGGACUCAUAACUGACAGAACAGCAUGUGGACCUCACCGCUCCUUGGACUUCGAGUGGCGCUACUCUAACGCUGAGUCCUGACCUGGAUCCCUGUUUGCUUGCCUAGACCUAAGGCGGUGGUGCAGACCUUCCCCCACCCCACAUACCAUCGCCUUCUGGAAUGUGGCUUUGUGGAACUGAGGCUGAGACAAUCACAGUGCCCCAUUCUUCUGGUCAUGUGACAGGUCUGGACCUGGUCAUGUGGCAAAGUCGAAUCUAAGUCACAUCAAAGCAGGGAGAGUUAAAGCAAAUCUUUUCUCUCUUGUUGUGGAGCUGGAAUAUGAGCCCAGAAGCUUCCAGAACACAUGGUCCUGCCCUCAUAAAGAAGCUCAAGUGAGGGAACAAAAUCGACUUAGGUAGCAGCGAGCAUGGAUGGGGCCUGGCUACAUCAAGUUCUCAGAUCCUGUUGUCCCCACCCACCCCCUGUAACUUGCCAAUUUUAUCCAUCAAGCAUCCUCUCCUCUCUCCCAACUUGUCUGAGUUCUGUUUCUGUCAUUGUCACCAAGAGAGCUUUGAUGAGUAAGAAAUCCCAACAUUCCACGGGAGUCUUGGUGGUUUAAAUUUUUAAGUGAGUCCUCACUUGUUAAAGUCUUAUUCCUGUUAGAGGGCACUUCCAUAGUCCAGAAGGUGGGGAAUUCCUAUAGGUGACCUGUGGUCUCUCUAAGCAAUUUGACCAGGACUAUUUAAUAAAAUAUUUUAAAAAUGGUUCCUUUUAAUUAUUCAUUUUCAAAUGUAUAUUUGUUCUUGGCAAACAAGAGAUGAUUUGCGUUAAUCAGUGAUCUUUAAGCAAAUUCCUUGCAAUACUUUAUCUCCAUAUAAACUCGAAGCUUCUUAAAUGAAAUAGUACCUGUGUAUUUCAUAUGGCUUCCUCUUUUAUAAAUAAAAUGAAUGGACUUGGGACCAAAACAGAAUUUUUUUUUUCGGGAACUAUAGGACUGGAAUCUUUUUAUCCAAGGCAGUUGGAUCCCACAGUACAUUUUCACUGUAACAGACAAUGAGGUUGAGUCAAUAAAUAAAUAAAUAAAGUCACCAACAUGUCCAAAAGCCUCCAUUUAAAACUCAAAGCCAGUGGUUUUGGGUUUCACCUUUUCCUUUAAAAUUAAAUUCCCUGAAACCAUAUUUUAAAAAUGCUAUCUGAAUGGGAACCGCCAAACUGGGAAACUUUAAGUUUAAAAAUAGAACUGCAUCUGAAUUAUCUUAUAGAAAUUUGUCUUCUAACCAGCCAUCAGUAACUGUAAGCAUGCUUCAUAGAUCUACAUAUUUCAGCACUUUUUACAUUCUGAAAGAAUCUUGCUUAGAUACGAAGGUUAACUGGACACCUUUUUCUGCAUUCACCUUUAAUACUGGAUGCCCCCUUUAUCUGCACUCCCAAGCUGGGAAGCCCCAGAGUGGGCUCUUGGCCCCUUGCGGCCAACUGAAGUUCUCCAUCUCUGCAGCCUCCGUGAUCACCUUAAGAAUAGGCUCGCGACCUCCUUUGGGCCACACAGAGUCCUUCUCAGGGCUUGCGCUGGAGCUCUCAGGAGGGAUGCUCGCUUUCUCACUGAUCAGGAACUCUAAGGACCAAAGCCUGGAGUGAGGAUGUGAUCUGCUUGCAAGCGAAGGAGGCAGGAGGCAGCCGGACUCGAGGGCACACAUGACCUGGCAGGGCUGAACCUCAGGCUCCGGUGAGGCUGGCUCCUGACUGCCCCUCUGGACUUUCUCAGUUAUUUCAGGCCAUGGAUUAUCUUUAGUGCUUAAGCUAGUUUGAGUUGUGUUUCUGCCACUCAUAAUUCAGAGAAUCCUGGUGGCUUCAGUGUGAUCAGGAAGACAUUGGGAGCCAUUUUAGUUUUUACUUAACUUUUCCAAACUUGCUAGACAGGCUGAUUAUGGGUCUGUGCUAGUCUGGGAACCUGUGUUUGCUCUCUUAAGCCAUGGGUCUUAGACUCAUUUCCUGUUGCAAACAGGAUGCACUGCACAUUUUUACUGUGUUUUUGCUGCCCAUAAGUGGGAGGCAGAUUCGAAUGAUAGAAUUGGAAAGGUUCCAAAAGCACCAGCCAUGGUAGGGACCCUGAAGAUUGCAAGAUAAACAAAAGCAUUCAGAACUUGUGAUGGGAGUGUGAGAGGAUUGAGCGUUGAAGUCAGCCUAACAGAGGCUGUCGUUUACCCGGUGAAAUCCUCAAGUUACAAACAGCUGCUGUGCAAUUGGAAGUCACAGUCUUCAGUUAGGCUUGAUUUGUCAUUUGGUUUAUAAAUAAGCUUUCAUUUUGUCUUUUUUUUUUUUUUUUUUUGGUCUGGCAAUGUGGUAUCUCUUCCUUGCAGGAUUUGGGAAGCUGGGAAUAUGUGUGACCCACACUACCUGAGGGUGAUAGACUUUGACAGUGUCUCCAGCAUUUUCAUGUUGAAAUCUGCUUUAUCCUAAUUUCCAGUCUUGGUCUUGUCUGUCACAGGCUGGGGAGAAGAGCACCGUCCAGAGAAGGACCCAAUAAGGGACAUUUCCACCUUGCUUAGUGGGUUGAGGGCUGGGCUUUGGGUUUGAGAUGUGAAGAGAAAGAAGCUACGUGGAAGAGAAAGGAUGGAGGUACAAGGACGCCCUCCAGCCGGCUACACUUCUGAAACUAAAACAUACAAAACUCAGUGGCUUUUCCUCAACUCCUAUGAUGGAUGUGCAAGGACGCCCUCCAGCUGGCUGCAUUUCUGAUGCUAAAAAUACAAAACUCAGCAGCUUUGCCCAUACUCCUAUGAUGCCUG